rnacentral:sRNA from 1 species
AUGUGCAAGGUGGUAGUACCAUUACACAACAAGUUGUCAAAAAUUAUUUUUAUGAUAAUGAUCGUUCAUUUACUAGAAAAGUAAAAGAAUUAUUUGUAGCUCAUCGAGUUGAAAAACAAUAUAAUAAGAACGAAAUUUUAAGCUUUUAUUUAAAUAAUAUUUACUUUGGGGAUAAUCAAUAUACGCUUGAGGGCGCAGCAAACCAUUACUUUGGAACAACCGUGAAUAAAAAUAGUACAACAAUGUCUCACAUAACAGUUUUACAAAGCGCUAUUUUAGCUAGUAAAGUCAAUGCACCUAGCGUAUAUAAUAUCAAUAAUAUGUCAGAGA